rfam:Salmo salar isolate Sally breed double haploid chromosome ssa01, whole genome shotgun sequence.
UGUAUUCACUACUGUAAGUUGCUCUGGAUAAGAGCGUCUGCUAAAUGAUUAAAA